AAUUGCAUCGCAGUCCCUCUGAAACAGCAGUGCCUUUCUGCUCUGUCUCCUUCACUUGCUUCUCCCAGCCUGGUCUCUAAUUCAGAGGCUGCAUCUACCUCUCAUAUGACUUCUGGACACUUGCAGUUGCUGGUCAUCAUGGUUGACAACAGACCAUAAGUUUCAUCAGUAUCUGUGUACUUGGAUUAACUUGGCCUUGAAAAGCAGCUGACUAAGAAGCAUUUGGUCAAAAUCGAGAAGAUCUGACAGAGCUGCCCACCUGUGCCACAUUUCUGUUGCCAGCAGAACGUGAACCACUAUGAAAUGAUACAUGGGGAAGAACAUGAGGAACUGGCUAAGCAAUGCUGAACGCUAAUCUCCAUUUUCCACUCUCGUCUGCAUCAUCUACAGUCCAAAGGUCAACCAGAUAGGCCUUUUGUGAUGAGGAUGCUUUGAACCGGGAUGAAGAGGUUUCAUUCACAGCCAGGGAGGUAUAAAAUCAAAAAACAAGAAAACAAACCCAAACCACCCAGAGAUGAACAUUGCAGGGUUCAAAAGCUGCCUCUGCCUUGACUGAAAUAAUGAUGGUGAACAGGAACAAGCUCUUCUUACUGCUGAGGUACUAUAAAACCUUCUGGAAGCUGAAGGAUAAGUGACCUGGCGAUGCUUGGGCCAUAGAUCUGGUCCUUGAUAAAGCACCACAUGGUGGCAUGAUCCACUCCUGCACGCCCUCAGUGACUGAUGGGUUCAAGUGGUUCAGACAGAAGAAGUGAGGGCACGCAUUCAAGUGAACACAAAGAUAGCAAAGCACAAUAUAGCUUUCACUUUCCCCCAGUUAUCUUCAGCUGGUGGGUGCUGAGGGAGGUCCUGGCUCAGAGGGUGUCUCUUCUAUUGCAUGUGUUCAACUCCACCACAGCACAGAAUCUCCUGUCUGGCUCCCAGCUCUGCAAACACCACCCUCCAACUGUUGCCAUGCAAUGAGCUGGCAGUAGCCAUCAUCAUAACAAGUCUGCCCCCAGAUCCACUUGGGAAACACAACUCUCUUGAGCACGCUUCAUAUCAAUAUUUAUUGCCUUCAUAUAUUUAACCUUAACAUUCAUAAUAUUUCAAUCAGAUCUGACAGCACUAAUGAUGAAAACAGCCUUAAAUGCUAUCAUUAUUUAUUGCUGCGUUACUACUAGGCAGGUAGCUCAAUGGGUUUGACAAACUGCUUGCAUAACACGUAGCUUUCAGUUAAAAUGCUGAAUGACUAAGAAUUUUAUUUUAAACGACUGCCAUAAAACGUCACUGAAAAUGCCCUGAAGAUGACAAUCAGAACAUAUUUUCUUCCUAAAAUAAUUUAGUCAUCAAAGAGGCAAGUUUACCUUAUAUGAAUGUGGAAGCAUUUAAUGGAAAUACAUGUAUACAUAUAUUUUAAUUGAGAUGAUAUUUGGAAGGUUUUUUUUUUUCCUGUUUUUUUUUUCAAACCCAAACUCUGAAACACGACUAAUCUUGGCUGUGUUGUUAAGGAAAAAAAAAAAAAAAAAAAAAAGAAAGAAAGAAAGCAAUCAAUGCACACUGUAAGCCCAGAAAACCACGUCAAUUAAUAACAACAUGGACUACAAAGAGCAAAUUGUGUUUUACCGUUGCAUUGAGCUUGCUGGGACUUGCCACAGUGCUACACUGAAACUGCCUCCAUCUUCAUCUCUUGGGUCACCACUUGAUAUCACUCCUGCAUGUUUUCUAGGUAGACCUAUUAUUCUUACAGCGCCAGCUCCAAAGAGUUAGCCAUCACGCCCUAGCCCUUACCUGGGUGAGAACAAAAGGCCUGAAUAUAGCAAAGAGGAGGAAUCAUAAUAAUAAAGACAAUAAU
ensembl:lncRNA